rnacentral:rRNA from 1 species
AACGAACGCUGGCGGCAUGCCUAACACAUGCAAGUCGAACGAGACCUUCGGGUCUAGUGGCGCACGGUUGGUUACGCGGGGGGACCUGCCCCUAGGGUCGGGAAAACUUCCCCGAAGGGGGGCUUAUACCGGGUAAAUUUUUCCGAACAAAAGAUUUAUCGCCUUUGGAUGGGCCGGGGUUGGAUUAGCUAGUUGGUAGGGUAAAAGCCUACCAAGGCGACGAUCCAUAGCUGGUCUGAGAGGAUGAUCAGCCACACUGGGACUGAGACACGGCCCAGACUCCUACGGGAGGCAGCAGUGGGGAAUAUUGGACAAUGGGCGAAAGCCUGAUCCAGCAAUGCCGCGUGAGUGAUGAAGGCCUUAGGGUUGUAAAGCUCUUUUACCCGGGAUGAUAAUGACAGUACCGGGAGAAUAAGCUCCGGCUAACUCCGUG